GACGGUACCUGAAGAAAAAGCAUCGGCUAACUCCGUGACAGCAGCCGCGGUAAUACGAAGGAUGCAAGCGUUAUCCGGAAUCAUUGGGCGUAAAGGGUCCGCAGGUGGCCAAUCAAGUCGGCUGUUAAAGACCGGGGCUUAACUCCGGGCAGGCAGUGGAAACUGAUUAGCUAGAGUACGGUAGGGGUAGGGGAAUUCCCAGUGUAGCGGUGAAAUGCGUAGAUAUUGGGAAGAACACCGGUGGCGAAAGCGCUCUACUAGGCCGAAACUGACACUGAGGGACGAAAGCUAGGGUAGCGAAAGGGAUUAGAUACCCCUGUAGUCUUAGCUGUAAACGAUGGAUACUAGGUGUAGCUCGUAUCGACCCCAGCUGUGCCGAAGCUAACGCGAUAAGUAUCCCGCCUGGGGAGUACGCACGCAAGUGUGAAACUCAAAGGAAUUGACGGGGGCCCGCACAAGCGGUGGAGUAUGUGGUUUAAUUCGAUGCAACGCGAAGAACCUUACCAGGGCUUGACAUGUCGCGAAUCUAGCGGAAACGUUAGAGUGCCUUAGGGAAUGCGAACACAGGUGGUGCAUGGCUGUCGUCAGCUCGUGUCGUGAGAUGUUGGGUUAAGUCCCGCAACGAGCGCAACCCUCGUCCUUAGUUGCCAAUAUUAAGUUAGGCACUCUAGGGAUACUGCCGGGGACAACUCGGAGGAAGGUGGGGAUGACGUCAAGUCAGCAUGCCCCUUACGUCCUGGGCGACACACGUACUACAAUGGUUGGGACAAAGGGCAGCAAGCUCGCGAGAGUAAGCGAAUCUCAUCAAACCCAGCCACAGUUCAGAUUGCAGGCUGCAACUCGCCUGCAUGAAGUAGGAAUCGCUAGUAAUCGCAGGUCAGCAUACUGCGGUGAAUUCGUUCCCGGGCCUUGUACACACCGCCCGUCACACCAUGGAAGCUGGCUACGCCCGAAGUCGUUACCCUAACCCUAAGGGGAGGGGGAUGCCGAAGGUAGAGCUAGUGACUGGGGUGAAGUCGUAACAAGGUAGCCGUACCUGAAGGUGAGGCUGGAUCACCUCCUUU
rnacentral:rRNA from 1 species